rnacentral:lncRNA from 1 species
GAUAUAACUGUCUUCUGAUAUCUUUAUUUACCUGUUUUCUUGUUUCUCCACAUCACAUUUCCAGACUGCAGGCAUUCAGAGGAGAAUCUCCAGAGCCCAGCUGUGUGUCUAUGAUUAGCUAUCAUUCCAUGGAGCAGCCUCUUUAUUUCAGUAAUGAAAGAAGCAGCACUGAUCUGAGAAAUACAUUCAGAGCAGAAUCUCCAGAGCUCAGCUGUGUGUCUAUUAAGAGCAACCACUCGAUGCAGCAGCCUCUUAGUUUCAGUCAUGAAAGAAGCAGCACUGAGCCAAGACUGCAGACAUUUAGAGCAGAGCCUCCAGAGUCCAGCUGUGUGUCUAUGAAGAGCAACCAUUCCAUGGAGCAGCCUCUUUAUUUCAGUAAUGAAAGAAGCAGCUCUGAUCUGAGACUGCAGACAUUCAGAGCAGAACCUCCAGAGCCCAGCUGUGUGUCUUUGAGGAGCAACCACUCGAUGCAGCAGCCUUACAAUUUCAGUAAUGAUAAAUUUACCACUGAGCUGAGACUGCAGACAUUCAGAGCAGAACCUCCAGAGCCCAGCUUUGUGUCUAUGAGGAGCAACCACUCGAUGCAGCAGCCUUACAAUUUCAGUAACAAAAAGCUGAGACUGCAGACAUCCGGAGCAGAACCUCCAGAGCCCAGCUGUGUGUCUAUGAGGAGCAACCAUUCGAUGCAGCAGCCUUACAACUUCAGUAACAUCAAAUGUACCACUGAGCUGAGACAGACAUUAAGAGUAGAACCUCCAGAACCCAGCUGUGUGUCUAUGAGGAGCAACCACUCGAUGCAGCAGCCUUUUAAUUUCAGUAACGAAAGAAGCAGCACUGAGCCGAGAGCAGAACCUCCAGAGCCCAGCUGUGUGUCUUUGAGGAGCAACCACUCGAUGCAGCAGCCUUACAAUUUCAGUAACAACAAAUGUAUCACUGAGCUGAGGUGAGAAACCAGCAUGGGAUGAGAGUGAGUUUAAACAGGGUGUUUUUUGUAGUAAGUCUGUUUUUUUCUUUUUUUUGGUCAUCUCCAAUGAAAAGUACUUUUUAACACUACAUUUUUUCUACCUUCCAGUAAAAAAAAAUCAGGCUGCACAGAAUAUUGUUUAAGCAUUGUCAUCACACAGCAUUCAUGUGAAAUAAUCUUUACAGUACAUUGCAGUAUGUGUGACGCCACGUGAAGCAAAUAAAUAAAAAAUGUUACUCA